rnacentral:tRNA from 4 species
GGCUUGGUAGCUCAGUUGGUAGAGCACUUGAUUGAAGCUCAAGGUGUCAGCAGUUCGAUUCUGUUUCAAGCCA